UGGGGAAUAUUGCACAAUGGGGGAAACCCUGAUGCAGCGACGCCGCGUGAGCGAAGAAGGUUUUCGAAUCGUAAAGCUCUGUCCUAUGAGAAGAUAAUGACGGUAUCAUAGGAGGAAGCCCCGGCUAAAUACGUGCCAGCAGCCGCGGUAAUACGUAUGGGGCGAGCGUUGUCCGGAAUUAUUGGGCGUAAAGGGUACGUAGGCGGUCUAUUAAGUCAGGUGUGAAAGCGUGAGGCUUAACCUCAUUAAGCACUUGAAACUGAUAGACUUGAGUGAAGGAGAGGAAGGUGGAAUUCCUAGUGUAGCGGUGAAAUGCGUAGAUAUUAGGAGGAAUACCGGUGGCGAAGGCGACUUUCUGGACUUUUACUGACGCUCAGGUACGAAAGCGUGGGGAGCAAACAGG
rnacentral:rRNA from 1 species